AAGUCGUAACAAGGUAACCGUAGGUGAACCUGCGGUUGGAUCAUUACAGAAUGAUUUCGGCUUCGGCCGUGUGCUAGUGAUGUGCAAUUCAUUUUGCCUCACUAGCAUAUCUACCCAACCUUAUGUGAACUGUUGUGUCUCUGGCAGUGGGGCUGCUUGGCCUUCUAAUUUAUUGGAAGGCAAUGCAGUCUGUCAGCUUCAGUCGGACGCUGUUUCAGUGUCGGUCUGUGCCGUGGACAAGCUGCCAACCAUCUGAAACAUUCUAUCUUAUAUUUUAUUGUCUUACAUUUCAAGUAUUUAAUUAUACAAACAACUUUUGGCAACGGAUCUCUUGGCUCUC
rnacentral:misc_RNA from 1 species